rnacentral:tRNA from 1 species
GAGGGUAUAGCUCAAGAGGUAGAGUGCAUGCUUAGCAUGCAUGAGGUCCUGGGUUCAAUCCUCAGUACCUCCU